CCUAGUUGAUCCUGCCAGUAGUAUAUGCUUGUUUCAAAUAUUAAGCCAUGCAUGUCUCAGUGCAAGCCACAUUAAGGUGAAACCGCGAAUGGCUCAUUACAUCAGUUAUGGUUCCUUAGAUCGUACCCACAUUACUUGGAUAACUGUGGUAAUUCUAGAGCUAAUACAUGCAAAUAGAGUUCUGACCAGAUUUGGAAGGAAUGCUUAUAUUAAAUCAAAACCAAUCGGUGGCGGGCUUGCCUUGCUCACCGUUUGACUUGGUGACUCUAAAUAACUUUGUGCUCAUCGCACGGUCUAGUACCGGCGACGCAUCUUUCAAAUGUCUGCCUUAUCAACUGUCGAUGGUAGUUUCUGCGACUACCAUGGUUGUUAUGGGUAACGGGGAAUCAGGGUUCGAUUCCGGAGAGGGAGCCUGAGAAACGGCUACUACUUCCAAGGAAGGCAGCAGGCUCGCAAAUUACCCACUCCCGGCACGGAGAGGUAGUGACGAAAAAUAACGAUACGGGACUCAUCCGAGACCCUGUAAUCGGAAUGAGUACACUUUAAAUCCUUUAACAAGGAUCUAUUAGAGGGCCAAUCUGGAGCCAGCAGCCGCGAUAAUUCCAGCUCUAAUAGCGUAUAUUAAAGUUGUUGCGGUUAAAAAGCUCGUAGUUGAAUCUGUGUCCCACAUUGUCGGUUCACCGCUCGCGGUGUUCAACAGGCAUGUCUGUUGGACGACCUACCGGUGGGCUUAGCCCGUAAAAAGGCCAAGGUGCUCUUCACCGAGUGUCGAGGUGGGCCGGUACGUUUACUUUGAACGAAUUAGAGCCUGAAUAUUGUGUGCAUGGAAUAAUGGAAUAGGACCUCGGUUCUAUUUUGUUGGUUUUUGGAAUUCCGAGGUAAUGAUUAAUAGGGACAACUGGAGGCAUUCGUAUUGCGACGUUAGAGGUGAAAUUCUUGGAUCGUCGCAAGACGGACAGAAGCGAAAGCAUUUGCCAAAUGUGUUUUCAUCAACCAAGAACGAAAGUUAGAGGUUCGAAGGCGAUCAGAUACCGCCCUAGUUCUAACCAUAAACGAUGCCAGCUAGAGAUCCGCCGAAGUUCCUCCGAUGACUCGGCGGGCAGCUUCCGGGAAACCAAAGCUUUUGGGUUCCGGGGGAAGUAUGGUUGCAAAGCUGAAACUUAAAGAAAUUGACGGAAGGGCACUACAAGGAGUGGAGCCUGCGGCUUAAUUUGACUCAACACGGAAAACCUCACCAGGUCCAGACACCGGCAGAAUUGACAGAUUGAGAGCUCUUUCUUGAUUCGGUGGGUGGUGGUGCAUAGCCGUUCUUAGUUGGUGGAGUGAUUUGUCUGGUUAAUUCUGAUAACGAACGAGACUCUAGCCUGCUAAAUAGACGUACUUUCUGGUAUCGCAUAGACCCUCCGCUUCGGCUUCGGUCGUUGUUGGUUGUGGUUCUCACUACCGGCAUACAAAUAUAUCUUCUUAAAGAGACGGGCGGCAUUUAGUCGCACGAAAUUGAGCAAUAACAGGUGGUAGUAGCAUAUCUUGGUGGUAGUAGCAUAUACUCCAGCGAGGCACUGGAGGACUGACGUGGAGAAGGGUUUUGUGUGAACAGCCGUUGCACACGAGUCAGUCGAUCCUAAGCCCCAGGAGAAAUCCUAUGUUGAUGUUGGUGUAUUUUAUUUUGAAUAACAUCUCACACCCAUCGGGCGAAAGGGAAUCCGGUUCCUAUUCCGGAACCC
rnacentral:rRNA from 1 species